rnacentral:rRNA from 1 species
GGAGUUAGCCGGUGCUUCUUCUGCGAGUAACGUCACAGAUGUAAGGUAUUAACUUACACCCUUUCCUCCUCGCUGAAAGUGCUUUACAACCCGAAGGCCUUCUUCACACACGCGGCAUGGCUGCAUCAGGGUUUCCCCCAUUGUGCAAUAUUCCCCACUGCUGCCUCCCGUAGGAGUCUGGGCCGUGUCUCAGUCCCAGUGUGGCUGAUCAUCCUCUCAGACCAGCUAGGGAUCGUCGCCUAGGUGAGCCUUUACCUCACCUACUAGCUAAUCCCACCUGGGCUUAUCCAUCAGCGCAAGGCCCGAAGGUCCCCUGCUUUCCCCCGUAGGGCGUAUGCGGUAUUAGCAGUCGUUUCCAACUGUUAUCCCCCACAAAUGGGCAAAUUCCCAGGCAUUACUCACCCGUCCGCCGCUCGUCAUCUUCAAAAGCAAGCUUUUGAAAUGUUACCGCUCGACUUGCAUGUGUUAGGCCUGCCGCCAGCGUUCAAUCUGAGCCAAUGAUACCAAACUCUGA